rnacentral:misc_RNA from 1 species
UUUCAAGUGUCAACCAAAAUGGUUGCUGCUUGAGGGGGAAUGUCAAGAGUCUCACAUCUAUAGAUUACAAGAAGUUCAAAGGGCUUAUAAGAGUAGAUGACCAAUUAAAGAUGACCAAUUAACUAAUUGGUUAGUUCUAACUUUUUAGCAAUGGUUGGUCCAAUCCCAAGAAAGCUCAUCUCACAUUUCACGGACUCUUGCCUCGGCCCUCAUUCACCUCUGCCUGUUCAAUUCAAUUCUGUAAUACUGUGAUAUGACUCUAUAAAGAUGAUUUACCUUAUCACUCUUGUUCCCUGCUUGCCAUUUUACCAUUAGAUUAUCUGGCGAAUUUUUUGAUGGGCAAGCAUGAUGUAAAGCCAGCUUUAGGCCACUUAGAAUUAUAUUGUUGCAUGUUUGGUAGAAUCUUGAAACACUUUCUGUUGAAUUUUCACUGUUUUGGUAGAAUCAGAGAUUUUUUUGGUGCAUGAAAUAAAAUGUAGGACUGUGGGAUGCACAAAAUGUUUUCUUAGAUUAAGUUGCCUAUUUUAAUAGUUUCUGUUAUGACGUGUAUAGCAUGGUCAUUCAUAAUAGGUGUGAUGUGGUUUGUGCACAUUGAUUGCAGUUAAUUUGCUUUCAGUUUGUAUUAUUUGUUUCAGCAUUACGAUUAGUUUAUUGUAUUUGCAUGUUAGUAUGUGCUGGAGGAACUCAAUG